AUUCUGCCCAAGCGGGGAAGGAUGAGAAGCUUCGACCAUGGUUCGACUCGAGCGCCAGCGAGAGAGCGUUGCCGCAGGCAACGACCCGAAGGGCGAAGCGCGCAGCGCUGAGUAAUCCUUCCCCCACCACCA
rnacentral:sRNA from 1 species